GACGAACGCUGGCGGCGUGCCUAAUACAUGCAAGUAGAACGCACAGUUUAUACCGUAGCUUGCUACACCAUAGACUGUGAGUUGCGAACGGGUGAGUAACGCGUAGGUAACCUGCCUGGUAGCGGGGGAUAACUAUUGGAAACGAUAGCUAAUACCGCAUAAUAUUAAUUAUUGCAUGAUAAUUAAUUGAAAGGUGCAAUUGCACCACUACCAGAUGGACCUGCGUUGUAUUAGCUAGUAGGUGAGGUAACGGCUCACCUAGGCGACGAUACAUAGCCGACCUGAGAGGGUGAUCGGCCACACUGGGACUGAGACACGGCCCAGACUCCUACGGGAGGCAGCAGUAGGGAAUCUUCGGCAAUAGACGAAAGUCUGACCGAGCAACGCCACGUGAGUGAAGAAGGUUUUCGGAUCGUAAAGCUCUGUUGUAAGAGAAGAACGGGUGUGAGAGUGGAAAGUUCACACUGUGACGGUAUCUUACCAGAAAGGGACGGCUAACUACGUG
rnacentral:rRNA from 1 species